AUUGAACGCUGGCGGCAGGCCUAACACAUGCAAGUCGAACGAGUGGCGGACGGGUGAGUAAUGUCUGGGAAACUGCAUGAUGGAGGGGGAUAACUACUGGAAACGGUAGCUAAUACAGCAUACCAUCAGAUGUGCCCAGAUGGGAUUAGAUAGUAGGGUGGGUAAAGGCUCACCUAGGCGACGAUCCCUAGCUGGUCUGAGAGGAUGACCAGCCACACGUGAACGGAGACACGGUCCAGACUCCUACGGGAGGCAGCAGUGGGGAAUAUGGUACAAUGGGCGCAAGCCUUAUGCAGCCAUGCCGCGUGUAUGAAGAAGGCCUUCGGGUUGUAAAGUACUGUCAGCGGGGAGGCGUUACCCGCAGAAGAAGCACCGGCUAACUCCGUGCCAGCAGCCGCGGUAAUUC
rnacentral:rRNA from 1 species